GACGGCAGCUAUCUGCAGUCGAGCGAUGGAUAUGAUCUUGCUCUUAUGAAGUUAGCGGCGGACGGGUGAGGAUUCGUGUCUGACUAGCCCAUAAGACUGGCAUUACUCCGGGAAACCGGGUAUAGUAUCGGCCCUCCUUUUGAACCGCAUGGUUCGAAAUUGAUAGGCGGCUUCGGCUGUCACUUAUGGAUGGACCCGCGUCGCAUUAGCUAGUUGGUGAGGUAACGGCUCACCUAGGGAACGAUGCAUAGCCGACCUGAGAGGGGGGUCGGCCACACUGGGACUGAACCUCGGCCCGGACUCCUACGGGAGGCAGCAGUAGGGAAUCUUCCGCAAUGGACGAAAGUCUGACGGAGCGACGCCGCGUGAGUGAUGAUGGCUUUCGGGUCGUAAAACUCUGUUGUUAUGGAAGAACAAGCGCUAGGUGAAAUAAGCUGGCCCCUUGACGGUACCUAACCAGAAAUCCGCGGCUAACUACGUGCCAACAGCCGCGGUAAUACGUAUGUGGCAAGCGUGAUCCGGAAUUAUUGGGCGUAAAGCGCGCGCAGGUGGUUUCUUAAGUCUGAUGUGAAAGCCCACGGCUCAACCGUGGAUGGUCAU
rnacentral:rRNA from 1 species